GUGCCAGGUGAACCGGGACCCCGAGGCCCUUAUGGACUACCAGGUUCAGCUGGAACACCAGGACUGGAUGGGUUGCCAGGCUUAAAGGGAGAUAAAGGCAACGAUGGGGAAAGAG